GGGCGGACCAACUGUGCCGCCGCGGGGCCCAGGUGGAGCCUCGGAAGGGGUUAUCGCUCCCGAGUCCGCAUGGCUGGCCUGAGGCUUCCUGCUGCACAGCCGACUUCCCCCACCCGAUCCUGCCCCCUCCCUGCCUCUGGGACUGACCCCUGUGCGUAGUGUGAACGCAAACCCCAUCCCGGGGUCGGCUUCCUGAGGGCCCACUCCGCAACUAGAAGGGGUAUUGGAAAUGGAUUCCUCGCCGCCCGGCUGCAACGAGGUGCCGCUGGGGUCGGACACACACACGUCUCCCUAGUGGCCCACCCGCCCCAGCUGUCACUGUGGCGAUCGGGCAGGGUGGGCCAGAGACCAGGCGGCCGCUGCCCAGCCCCUGACCGUUGUCAGAACCUCGACAGGGAAAGCUGGGACCUCGCCAUGUGGGUGGGGGACAUCCAGGUGGGUGUCCUUCGGAACAUUCUGCCUCUGCAGGGUUUGCUCACCUCUCCCUGGGAAGAGCCGCACCCCCGCCCCCAGCCGAAAUAGAACGCGGAGGCCUCAUCGUCCCCCCUGCCCUUGCCAAUCCCCGGCAACAUUUGUCCCCUUCAGGACGUCCACCUCCCCUCCUGGCCACUGGGCUGACACCCAGGGUUAAAUUGCAGCAUAACCGGGCUGGGGACGAGCUGGGUCUGACAGCUCAAGGACGGCGGAGGAUGAAGAGACCGAUGGGCUGUGUUGGCAGGAGCCGGGGACACGGGCGGCCCCAGCGGCUCCGCUGAGGGGCCGGAGCACGAGCCAGGCAGGUGUGAGACCCCACACGUACCAAGGGUUCUCAAAGCCCCCCUUCUUCUUGCGGCUCCUGCCUGAGGCUUCCUGAGCCAGCACAGGGCAGGCCAGAGUCUGGAACCCACACGCUGCACGGUGCCUGCAGCCAGCCCCCUCACCCACCGGCAACGGCGUGCACCCGUGACACGUCUCCCCUGGGUCCCAGUGUGCUGAGUACGGUUGCCCAGGAACGCCCCCUCCCCACCCCCUCUUACCUCAUACGCCCAAGAAAAAUUCCGUGCCCUAGUCUUGAGUCUUUGUUUCAGGGUCCGCAAGGGGAGCCUGGACCAGGGGAGUAAAAUCAAGCCAGCCCGGGACCAUCAACCGUGGCAGGUGGCCAGGAAUGCAAGUGUAAGAUCCCAGUCCUGUUCAGGGAUGGCCAGCGCCGGUGACUGAGGACAGAAGACAGAAGCCUGAGAAAAGCAGCAUAACUUGAAAGCAGAAAGUAAUGUCAUGCAAGUAAACCGAGCCACCUGACGGAGCUCCCGGGGGCCAGUGCAGGAACAAUGAGAGCAAGAAAUGAAUCAAGCAGGAUCGGAUUAUAACCGCAUAUAUCCAUUGUGCACGGAAGCAUGCCACCAACAGACCGGAAGAAAAUACCCACAAACCCCAUCUCUGAUGAGGGAUUCGCGUCCAGAAUAUGUAAGGGAUUCCUACAACUCGGGCCCCUGGCUGGCUCAGUCGGUAGAGCAUGUGACCCUUCCUCUCAGGGUCACGAGUUCAAGCCCCACAUCGGGCAUGGAGUGUACUUUAAGAAAAUACGUUAAAAAAAAAAAAAAGAAUUCCUACACCUCAACAACAACAGAAAUAAACAACCCAAUUGAAAAUGGGCAAAGGACUUGCACAGACAUUUUUGCAACAGGAGAUCCACACAUGGCAAAGAAGCACACGGAAAGCUGCUCACCGUCACUAAUCAUUAGGAAAAUGCAACUCAAAACCACAGUGACUUAUCCCUUCCCACCCAGUAGGAUGGCUAUUCUCAAAAAACAGAGAGCGACAAGGGUUAGGGAAGAGGCGGAGAGAUCGGGAUCCUGUGCGCAGACGGUGGGAAUGCGAAAUGGCUGCGUGGAAAAGUCUGGCGAGUCCUCAGAAAAGCAGACGUAGGAUGACCACGCUAUCCACGUAUGUACCUAAGAGAACUGCGAGCAGGGGGAUCCACGUCCGCCUGUGUUCAUAGCAGCGUUAUUCACGAUACAUAAAAGGUGGAGACAACCCAAAGCACCCCAAGGGAGGGACGGAUGGAUGGAGAAACGAAACAUAGUGUAUACAUAUGUGAUAAUAAAAAUUAUGCGUCAGCUCCACUGGGCUAAGGGCCCCCGACAGCGGCGAAGCGGUAUUUCUGGAUGCGUCUGUGAGGGCUUCUCUGGAAGAGACAAGCGUUUGGUUCUGUAAGCUGACUGUCCUCACCAAGCCAGGUGGGCCUUGUCCAGUCUGGUGAGGGCCCAAACGGAACGAAAAAGACAGAGGAAGGGUGAGUUUGCCCUCUGCCUGCGUGGGACGUCCUGCCUCUCUGGCCUUCGGACGCAGACUGAAUCGCCACGGGCUCUCCCGGGUCCGCAGCCCGCAGAGGGCAGAGGGUGGGACGCCGUGGCCUGCACAGCUGCGUGGAUCAGUUCCCGUGAUCAGUCUCCUCAGCUCAGUGUGCGUGUGUGCGUGCAUGCGCAUGUGUGUGCGUGCACGUGUGUGCAUACGUGCGUGUGUGCACGUGAGUGCGUGCGCAUGUGUGCGUGCGUGCGUGUGUAUCCUGUUUCUCUGGAGAACCCGCAUAGAAUGUACGAUGGAAUUAUUCAGCCAUAAAAAGGAACAAAAUGCUGGCAACUGCUACAACGUGGACGCACCUGGAAGACACUAUAUUCAGUGAAACAAGCCAGUCACAAAGGACAAAUACUAAGAGAACAUCCAGAUGGCCAACAGACAAAUGAAAAGAUGCUCAACUUCAUUAGUCAUCAGGGAAAUGCAAAUCAAAACCACAAUGAGAUGUCACCUCACACCUGUCAGAAUGGUAGAAUCAAAAACACAGUUGGGGCACCCGGGUGGCUCAGUGGGUUCAGCCUCUGACUUCAGCUCAGGUCGUGAUCUCACGUUUAUGAGUUUGGGCCCCGUGUCGGGCUCUGUGCUGUCAGUUCGGAGUCUGGAGCUGCUUCGGAUUCUGUGUCUUGCCCUCUCUCUGUCCCUCCCCCACUCACGUUCUGUCUUUCUCUGUCCCUCAAAAAAUGAAUAAACGUUAAAAAAUUUUUUUUAAUAUUUCACCACUACAAUAAACAUAAAUAUUGAUGAGUCCA